rnacentral:rRNA from 1 species
CCUACGGGCGGCAGCAGUGGGGAAUAUUGCACAAUGGGGGGAACCCUGAUGCAGCAACGCCGCGUGGGUGAAGAAGUACUUCGGUAUGUAAAGCCCUGUCAGCAGGGAAGAAAAUGACGGUACCUGACCAGGAACCCCCGGCUAACGACGUGCCAGAAGCCGCGGUAUUACGCCGGGGGCGAGGGUUAUCCGGAUUUACGGGGUGUAAAGGGAGCGUAGAGGGCAAGGCAAGUCGGGAGUGAAAGCCGGUGGCUCAACCACGGGACUGCUGUGGAAACUGUGUUGCGGGAGUGCAGGAGAGGUAAGCGGAAUUCCUGGUGUAGCGGUGAAAUGCGUAGAUAUUAGGAGGAACACCGGUGGCGAAGGCGGCUUACUGGACUGUAACUGACGUUGAGGCUCGAAGGCGUGGGGAGCAAACAGGAUUAGAUACCCCAGUAGUC